rnacentral:tRNA from 1 species
GCUUAGUAGGUAAAGCGCUCGUCUAGCAUACAAGUGACCUGGGUUCGAAUCCCAG